rnacentral:rRNA from 1 species
AUUGAACGCUGGCGGCAGGCCUAACACAUGCAAGUCGAACGGUAACAGGAAGAAGCUUGCUUCUUUGCUGACGAGUGGCGGACGGGUGAGUAAUGUCUGGGAAACUGCCUGAUGGAGGGGGAUAACUACUGGAAACGGUAGCUAAUACCGCAUAACGUCGCAAGACCAAAAAGGGGGACCUUCGGGCCUGUUGCCAUCGGAUGUGCCCAGGUGGGAUUAGCUAGUAGGUGGGGUAACGGCUCACCUAGGCGACGAUCGCUAGCCGGCCUGAGAGGGUGACCGGCCACACUGGGACUGAGACACGGCCCAGACGGGUACGGGACGCAGCAGUGGGGAAUAUUGCACAGUGGGGGCAAGUGUGAUGCAGCAACGUCGGGUGUGUGAAGUACGCCCUGGGGGGGUAAAGCUAGUUUAGCAGGGAAGAAGGGACAGUGACGGUACCUGCAGAAGAAGCACCGGCUAACUCCGUG